GUUGUUGAGUGAAUUGUUAGAACAUCUUCUGGAGAAGGACAUCAUCACCUUGGAAAUGAGGGAGCUCAUCCAGGCCAAAGUGGGCAGUUUCAGCCAGAAUGUGGAACUCCUCAACUUGCUGCCUAAGAGGGGUCCCCAAGCUUUUGAUGCCUUCUGUGAAGCACUGAGGGAGACCAAGCAAGGCCACCUGGAGGAUAUGUUGCUCACCACCCUUUCUGGGCUUCAGCAUGUACUCCCACCGUUGAGCUGUGACUACGACUUGAGUCUCCCUUUUCCGGUGUGUGAGUCCUGUCCCCUUUACAAGAAGCUCCGCCUGUCGACAGAUACUGUGGAACACUCCCUAGACAAUAAAGAUGGUCCUGUCUGCCUUCAGGUGAAGCCUUGCACUCCUGAAUUUUAUCAAACACACUUCCAGCUGGUGAGUUUUUGCAUAAUGACAAGAGGAAGGGAGUUGGGAAAUUAGACACCCUUCCUGGGAACCUGAACUUAGUUUGCAUGUACAUUUCCUUUAUGCCUUAUUAGUCAGAAAGUUGUUACUGGUUAAAUGCCUUCUGUGAGCAUUUGUCUAUUUUUAC
rnacentral:sRNA from 1 species